AGGAAGGGUGCUACAGAGGAAAUUUGCUCACCUUAUGGCAGUCAGAAGGCAGAAAGAGAGUCUGUAUUAUCUGCAGAGAGCAGGGGAAAAGGACAUUAUUAGAACUCCUGCAGUGAGUCCUAGUCUCCUGCGAGCCACAAGGUUAAUGUCAUGCUCAGAACCAUGUAUGGCAAAUCACAAGCAAAGGCAGCCCCAGAGACUCUUGCAUAGAGAAGUCCGAGGACCGCAUAGUACCAGAAGGAGACACUGAGCUGUUGAGGCAGAAGAUCCAGACAGUGCUCCCACAUUCUCCAAUGGCCUUGGCUUCUCUGGCUUUGCAGGAGCUCCAGCCCCAGGCAUUCCUAACUGGACCAGCAAGCAACCUCUGGAUUGAGGUGGCCCCGGGGCAUGUCAAUUACACAGGGCGAGGCUAUCAAAGAAAAAGCCAAUUUUAGACCAUGUCAUCACAUUAGUGCAAAUUAGCUCUGAACUUUACAUGUCGUUAUAGGCAUUUUGUUUUACAGGGACAAACCUUUUCAUUCUACAAGCAUGAUAAAGACACACCACCCCCAACCUUUCCCAUCGUUACAAUUUCAUGAACACUUGCUUUCCCUCUCAAUAAGCACACCCUAGUAAGAAAUAAAUUGAUCUCUUAGAAGUGACAGUAGCAGUCCUCUCGCCUAGUCCAGCUGAGCCCUUGUCAUUCUCAAAGCUCUCUUCUUCCUCCUACCUUCUCUCCGCAUAUCACCUACAUCUGCUGGCACUGAGUAGCACUUUCUGCACAAUGACAGUUUUUCAAGACAAACACUGGUUCUUAAAAGAAUCUAGUGUCCUCAUUAAGAUCAAUCUUUUAAGGCCCUUCAACUAUUUUGGAAUUCUUAACUCUGUCCUUGUCCACUGAUUCAUCAGUAAUGCUGCCAGAUGCAAUGUAUCAUUCUAUAAGUCCAACUACUUGUCAAAAAUAGUAACUGAAUCCCCCAUAUUGCCAACUCAAAGCUUGGUCUUUUGAAGUUCAGAUACA